UACGAAGGGGGCUAGCGUUGCUCGGAAUUACUGGGCGUAAAGCGUGCGUAGACGGUUAUUUAAGUCGGGUGUGAAAGCCCCGGGCUCAACCUGGGAAUUGCAUUCGAGACUGAAUAGCUAGGGUACGGUAGAGGGAAGUGGAAUUUCCGGUGUAGCGGUGAAAUGCGUAGAUAUCGGAAGGAACAUCAGUGGCGAAAGCGACUUCCUGGACCAGUACCGACGUUCAGGCACGAAAGCGUGGGGGAGCAAACAGGA
rnacentral:rRNA from 1 species